CUGGACUCCAAGGGAGGAGGCUGGGAGCUCAGGUCUCUGCUGCAAUCGGAGGAUCCCGGGCUGCAGCCGCUGUGUGAAGUUCCCAGCACACACUCCUCGGCUGCUGCUCUGCACUGUCAAUUGUGGGUGAGCCAGGACAACAACAAGGAGAGCGAUCCCAUUUUGCCUUCUUAGAGAAAGGGCUGAGAAAUGAGCCGCCCAAGGAAUCUGGCAAGGAGAGGAGUGAAAGGCAGAUUCCUGCCAGCAGCUAAGUUGUAAAAUUGCUUUGGAGUCUACCCAGGGAGCGCGAUAGAAUUGAUAAGAGCAGCGCAAGCCGGGUUCCUGAGCAAAGGCAUGCCCGGCUGCACUUGAGUCAGGGCGGGCGCAGGAACGCUGCCUGUGCCUCCUGCAACUAUCUGUGGCUGGAAUAAAGGAAAAGAGCCUAGGAACACAAUUGCAAGGGGGAUUCCUGGACAGAAAAUACAUCUAUCCUCAAAGGAGGGGAACAACAACCCAGCUGGCCUGUGUGCGUUUUUAGAAGGAGAAUCCCUCAGGUUCUCUAUUGCAUCAGUUAACAGACCCUGGGAAUUGUUGACUAAUUAUGCUAAAACUUUACUCAAGUCGUUGGAGUACACGUUCAAGAUACAUCAUGAAGUUACAUGGACGUGAAAGCGCUGUAAAACUUCCCUUCCAGAAAGGUGGAGGAGCUAAGCUGGUGGAGUCCACAGACCCUUGACCUUCCACAGGAACGCCAUCCACUUUCCUGCCCCUUCUGGUGAUUGAUGGCACCAGAGAACAGUGAUGCUGGCCUUGGGUUUACAGACUACCAUCCCAGUGCCUUGUUCACUUCCUUGGAUUAGAGAA
rnacentral:lncRNA from 1 species